CUUCUCCAGUUAUUUUCCAACACAGGAAUCUCGCUAGGCAACGAGCUCUCAAGUGAACUAGUUUUGCAAAGGUCCUUGCUUCACCUUAUCGAACAGGACCUCCAGCUGUCUCUCGGUAGUCACCACGGGUGGUGUAGUCACCGCGGGUUGUAGCACUAAGUUCCCGGGUGACCCCGCCGAAGCCCUCCCCGCUGAGGGAGAUCUACCGGCCGCCUCAGCGGAGCCCGGGCUGAGGGCCGUGGAACCCCGGCCCCGCGGCUCCCCGCGAAGAAGGGUCUCCGCGCUCUCCGCAGCCUUUCCACGACCAGCCCCCACACCAGCAGCUCCAGAACGAGCACGGCAGCACCUAGCCCAGCGCCACACCGAGAGCCCCAAGCAACGGGGACAGCCGAAAACGCAGCUCUCUCUGGCAAGGAGAGGAGCCCGGCCGGCGGGAGCUGAAGGCAGGGCAUCCGCACAUGGCGGUAAAGACACCCCCGACCGCGCAGAGAGCCGCCGGCCGAGCAGUCGGCUGCCCACACCGCUGGCAACGCGCACGCAGCGGCUUCCAGGCAGAGAAGGGUGGAGUCACUUCAACAAUGCUAUUUUCUCAAAGUGAAAGCUGAGCAGAGCUGAGGUGACAUCCAUGACAGGAUUGCAACUGCGUGUUUUGGAUUUAACACAACACUCCUCCAGCUGCAGGCUAGCAGCAAAGUGAGUCGACUUUGGAUAAAGUCUCUACACUGCCCUUGUGAGAUCACACCUGGAAUACUGUGUCCGAUUUUGGGCUCCCCAGUUCAGGAGAGACAGAAGUCUGCUGGAAAGUCCAGCAGAGAGCCAUGAGGAUGACUGAUGGACUUGAGCAUCUCUCCUAUGGAGGGAGACUGAGAAACCUGGGGCUGUUUAGCCUAGAGAAGAGAAAGCUGAGAGGAGAUCUCAUCAAUGUCUAUAAAUAUCUGAGGGGUGGGUGUCAAGUGGAUGGAGCCAACCUCUUUUCAGUGGUCAGCAGCAACAAGACAAGGAGCAAUGGCUACUAACUGGAACACAGAAGCUUUCAGCUCAGCAUGAGGAGAAACUUCUUUCCAGAGUGACAAAGCCCUGGAACAGGCUGCUUGGAGAGGUUGUGGACUCUUCUUUCUCUGUGUCCUGGGUUAGGGUGGAUCCCUCCCCUGGUAGAAUGAACUCAUUACAACACAGAUUUUUGGAAAGUCAGGGGAAAAAUGAAAUUGUAUUUCUUAUAGUUUAAAUAUAACUAAAACAUCCAUAACAGAAUUUCCAACCUUUUUUAACAUACCUUUUACCCAGUUCCAAACCAUCUUAGCGAAAAAGGAGCACACAUGAUAUUGCACCUUGGUAAUAAAACACUGCUGAACCGAUAAGGUCAAAAUCAAAAUAAUAGUGGGCCAGAAUAUACAAAACAAAUUAAUUUUUCCUCGACUUCCUUAUCCUGAUUAUCAGUCAAAAAAACAAACCACGAUUGUGCCCCAUGUUUGGAAAAGCACCAAAACUAAUGUCCUGGGUUAGGGUGGAUCCCUCUCCUGGUAGAAUAAACUCACUACAACAUGAAUUUUUUGAAAGUCAGAAAAAUUUCUUAUAAAAAAUUCUUAUAGUUUAGCAUUUGUGCUAGUUUGAAGCAGGCUAGAAUGUUGUGGUGAGAAAAACUAGAUUACAGGCUGUAAAAGGAAAACAAUGGUGAUGUCUACUCAUAGCCUUGCUGAAAUGUAUAGGAACAAGAAAUAAAAACAUUAGAUAAUCACUCUCGCUCGGGCUGCUGGCUCAGCUGCAUCUCUCUAACCUCACCCUCCAUUUUGGGCUAAUCCACUUUGCUUCCUAACCUCUGGCCGAACCUCUUUUCUUCCUUGGGACUGAGGUAAGGUUGAGAGGGGUAGGGGGAAGGUGAAGGGGUGGUUCAGAGCCACUCCUGGGGGCUCAGGUUUUUGGGAGGGGAGUUGUGUUUCUGUAUUCCCUUUUUACCUUGUAUAUUUCUGUAUAUAACUGUAUAUACUGUAAAUAUCUGCUUAUAUAUUGUGUUAGUUGUAAAUACAAGC